rnacentral:rRNA from 1 species
ACUAAGCGUACACGGUGGAUGCCCUGGCAGUCAGAGGCGAUGAAGGACGUGCUAAUCUGCGAUAAGCGUCGGUAAGGUGAUAUGAACCGUUAUAACCGGCGAUUUCCGAAUGGGGAAACCCAGUGUGAUUCGUCACACUAUCAUUAACUGAAUCCAUAGGUUAAUGAGGCGAACCGGGGGAACUGAAACAUCUAAGUACCCCGAGGAAAAGAAAUCAACCGAGAUUCCCCCAGUAGCGGCGAGCGAACGGGGAGCAGCCCAGAGCCUGAAUCAGUGUGUGUGUUAGUGGAAGCGUCUGGAAAGGCGCGCGAUACAGGGUGACAGCCCCGUACACAAAAAUGCACAUGCUGUGAGCUCGAUGAGUAGGGCGGGACACGUGGUAUCCUGUCUGAAUAUGGGGGGACCAUCCUCCAAGGCUAAAUACUCCUGACUGACCGAUAGUGAACCAGUACCGUGAGGGAAAGGCGAAAAGAACCCCGGCGAGGGGAGUGAAAAAGAACCUGAAACCGUGUACGUACAAGCAGUGGGAGCACGCUUAGGCGUGUGACUGCGUACCUUUUGUAUAAUGGGUCAGCGACUUAUAUUCUGUAGCAAGGUUAACCGAAUAGGGGAGCCGAAGGGAAACCGAGUCUUAACUGGGCGUUAAGUUGCAGGGUAUAGACCCGAAACCCGGUGAUCUAGCCAUGGGCAGGUUGAAGGUUGGGUAACACUAACUGGAGGACCGAACCGACUAAUGUUGAAAAAUUAGCGGAUGACUUGUGGCUGGGGGUGAAAGGCCAAUCAAACCGGGAGAUAGCUGGUUCUCCCCGAAAGCUAUUUAGGUAGCGCCUCGUGAAUUCAUCUCCGGGGGUAGAGCACUGUUUCGGCAAGGGGGUCAUCCCGACUUACCAACCCGAUGCAAACUGCGAAUACCGGAGAAUGUUAUCACGGGAGACACACGGCGGGUGCUAACGUCCGUCGUGAAGAGGGAAACAACCCAGACCGCCAGCUAAGGUCCCAAAGUCAUGGUUAAGUGGGAAACGAUGUGGGAAGGCCCAGACAGCCAGGAUGUUGGCUUAGAAGCAGCCAUCAUUUAAAGAAAGCGUAAUAGCUCACUGGUCGAGUCGGCCUGCGCGGAAGAUGUAACGGGGCUAAACCAUGCACCGAAGCUGCGGCAGCGACGCUUAUGCGUUGUUGGGUAGGGGAGCGUUCUGUAAGCCUGUGAAGGUGUGCUGUGAGGCAUGCUGGAGGUAUCAGAAGUGCGAAUGCUGACAUAAGUAACGAUAAAGCGGGUGAAAAGCCCGCUCGCCGGAAGACCAAGGGUUCCUGUCCAACGUUAAUCGGGGCAGGGUGAGUCGACCCCUAAGGCGAGGCCGAAAGGCGUAGUCGAUGGGAAACAGGUUAAUAUUCCUGUACUUGGUGUUACUGCGAAGGGGGGACGGAGAAGGCUAUGUUGGCCGGGCGACGGUUGUCCCGGUUUAAGCGUGUAGGCUGGUUUUCCAGGCAAAUCCGGAAAAUCAAGGCUGAGGCGUGAUGACGAGGCACUACGGUGCUGAAGUAACAAAUGCCCUGCUUCCAGGAAAAGCCUCUAAGCAUCAGGUAACAUCAAAUCGUACCCCAAACCGACACAGGUGGUCAGGUAGAGAAUACCAAGGCGCUUGAGAGAACUCGGGUGAAGGAACUAGGCAAAAUGGUGCCGUAACUUCGGGAGAAGGCACGCUGAUAUGUAGGUGAAGCGACUUGCUCGUGGAGCUGAAAUCAGUCGAAGAUACCAGCUGGCUGCAACUGUUUAUUAAAAACACAGCACUGUGCAAACACGAAAGUGGACGUAUACGGUGUGACGCCUGCCCGGUGCCGGAAGGUUAAUUGAUGGGGUCAGCGCAAGCGAAGCUCUUGAUCGAAGCCCCGGUAAACGGCGGCCGUAACUAUAACGGUCCUAAGGUAGCGAAAUUCCUUGUCGGGUAAGUUCCGACCUGCACGAAUGGCGUAAUGAUGGCCAGGCUGUCUCCACCCGAGACUCAGUGAAAAUUGAACUCGCUGUGAAGAUGCAGUGUACCGCGGCAAGACGGAAAGGAGUGAACACGUAAUUCAUUACGAAGUUUAAUUCUUUGAGCGUCAAACUUUUAAAUUGAAGAGUUUGAUCCAUGGCUCAGAUUGAACGCUGGCGGCAGGCUAACACAUGCAAGUCGAACGGUAACAGGAAGAAGCUUGCUUCUUUGCUGACGAGUGGCGGACGGGUGAGUAAUGUCUGGGAAACUGCCUGAUGGAGGGGGAAUAACUACUGGAAACGGUAGCUAAUACCGCAUAACGUCGCAAGACCAAAAGAGGGGGACCUUCGGGCCUCUUGCCAUCGGAUGUGCCCAGAUGGGAUUAGCUAGUAGGUGGGGGGGGUAACGGCUCACCUAGGCGACGAUCCUAGCUGGUCUGAGAGGAUGACCAGCCACACUGGAACUGAGACACGGUCCAGACUCCUACGGGAGGCAGCAGUGGGGAAUAUUGCACAAUGGGCGCAAGCCUGAUGCAGCCAUGCCGCGUGUAUGAAGAAGGCCUUCGGGUUGUAAAGUACUUUCAGCGGGGAGGAAGGGAGUAAAGUUAAUACCUUUGCUCAUUGACGUU